GUUCAAGCCACCAAUACUGGUGUCAUAUUCAGAGUGCUCUCUGUAAAAUAACAAGAAAUCUGAAUCCACUCGUCAAACAACAAAGAUGAGAUGGACAGGAUAAAUUUCCACAUCACUUUUGUAGAUAUCAUUACCAAAAUGGUCUGAAUAAAUAUUAUUUUUCAACUAAAGCACAUACCCAAGCUGUUUGUGUGAUCAAAGCCUUACCUCCCUGAUCACAUCCAUUGUCUAGACUCCAGAUAAAAGGCUAAUAUAGCAGCUUAAAACUGCCAUCAAACAUUAAUCAAAUUCCAUGGGCUUGAUUCCAAAGGAUUUGCAAGCACAGGAAGAUUCAUGCAGGCAACCCAUUGUAGCCAAAUCAGAUUGAAUUGAGAUGGGGUUGAACAUCAUCCCUUCUU
rnacentral:misc_RNA from 1 species